CUCUCCAAUUAUUGGUGCUGGGGUUAUUGAACACCUGUCUGUUUCAACUUAUCUGACAUUAACCUAUCAAGAAUGCUAAAAGUGUGGAGAGCGGGCACACGAGUAACCGCUAUAGAAGAGUAAACGAAGAGCUAGCCGGUCAAGGCCGUCGCUUUUCAAGUGUGCAAAUUAGUGCAAGUACGUCAUGACCGCCAAGUUGGACGACUUUGACAAAGAUUUCCCUCGUGUACUAUGCAAAUAUACGGAAAUUCUUAUAAGCCAAAUAAAAAACAAUUAUCUGUACUUAAUCUUUUACUAGCAUAUUUGCUUAUGAUGAAAACAGAAAACUUUUUUUUCUUUUUAACUAUCUUCAUUUCAA